UACAUGCAGGCUCUCUAACCAUCAGCUUCCCAGCCUAGGAUCGCACAGCACUACCAUCCUGCCCUGGUCAAAUCUGUCCAGUAUAUGAGUUUAAUACCUGGUCCGCCUCUCCCGCAACGUGGGGAGAACAAUGCACACUUGUGGUAACCAAGCAGAGAUUUUCCCCAAGCAUUCCAGUCAAAGAUCACUGGUUUAGAUUAAAACAAAACAAGUUUAUUAACUACAAAAGAUGGAUUUUAAGUGAUAGCAAACAGAUCAAAGCAGAUUAUCUAGCAAAUAAACAAAAACACAAACUAAGCUUAAUAUACUAAAUAGAUUGGUUAUGAAUAGCAGAGUCUCACCCUAACUGAUGGUAUAGUCAGACUGGUAGAUUCUUGAGGCACCAGCUAUACUUGAUUUGCAGCCUGGAAUCCACAGGUAUUUCACACACAGGGUCCAGCACUUCCCCCAGUUCAGUCUUUGUUCCUCAGGUGUUUCCAGGUGUCUUCUUGUGUGGGGAGUGAAGAACCACAGAUGAUGUCACUUCCUGCCUUAUAUAGCUUUUGUAUAUGGUGAGAACCCUUUGUUCCCAGACCAGUUUGUGGAAAAAUACUGACAUCCCAAGAUAGGAUCUUGUGGUCAUAUGCCCUUGUAGAGUCAUAGCAGCCAUCACUAACAGGCUGUCUGUAGCGUUCUCAGGAAGGCUCACCAGAUGGGGGAUAAGCUUCUCUGAAGGCCUAUUGUUUUUCCUAAUGGCCGGUUACCUUGAAUAGGCCCUUCACCACCUACUAUCUAGACUGAAAGCAUCUUGUCUAGUGGGCAUUACACAGGUGUAACUACAUUUGAAGUACAGAUACAUAGGCCUUGUCUACACUACCAAAUUUUGUCACCAAAACUGCUCUUUGUCGACAAAACAGUGAGUGCAUACACAUUGUGAGGCAACUUUUGUUGGGAAAAAUGCCUGGUUUUGGUGACAAAAUACAUCCACCCUCAAGAGAGAUUUACAUCUUUUUCCUCUACAUUUUUGUCGACGAAGUGCCAGUGUAGGCACCAUGCUUCACUUCAUCGCUUUAAUUGGCCUCCAGGAGGUGUCCCACUACACCCAUCCUGACUGCUCUGGCCAGCAGUUUGAACUACACUGCCCAGCAGGCAGGUAAACAACCAUUCGCACCUCCCCCUUAGAAGCCCUGGGAAUUUUUGAAAUUCCAUUUCCUGCUGGCUCAUCGCAUCUUCCCAGGUGACCAUGGCGGGUUAUUGCAGCAAACGCUCUCCCACUUGGACCACUGCACAGUUGUUGGAUCUGCUCAGUAUAUGGGGAGAGGAGGCUGUGCAGUCCCAGCUGCGCUUGAACCAUAGGAAUUGGGAUACCUAUGGGCAGAUUUCUCGAGGCUUGUGCGAAUAGGGCUAUGAUCGGGACACGCUGCAGUGCAGUGUGAAGAUAAAGGAGCUGAGGCAGGUGUACCAUAAGGCGAGGGAGGCAAACCAUCACUCAGGUGCAUCACCUAAGACCUGCCGGUUCUAUAAGGAGCUGCAUGCAACCCCACCUUCAUCGCCAAGAGCCUUGUGGAUACUUUGGAGGGCACAGAGGUGGCGGAAAGAGGACCUAACCCAGAGGAUGAAGUUACUGAUGAAGAGGUGGAGUUAUAUGAGGAUUUGCAGCUCCUGGCGGGGUCGCUCGGUGGGGCAGACAGCCAGGAACUGUUCUCCACUCCAGAGGUGUCUAACCAAUCUCAGCAGUUGCUCUCCGGGGAGCAAGAAGUAGGAGAUGAGACGCCUGGUGAGAUUGCAGGCUGUACCAAUAUAUGAACAGGCAUAUAACUUACUAGAAUAUAAGGCUUCAAAUGUCAUCAUUGCCCCUAGGAAAACUAUAGGUAAUGUAACACUGAAGCACUUCUGACAGAGAUAUGUUACUGGUGCUCAUUGUCAAAGUGCUGCCUCAAAGCCUCCCUGAUUCGAAUAGCCCCACUCUGGGCUUCUCUGACAGCCCUGGUAUCUGGCUGCUCAAAAUCAGUGGCCAAGCAAUCUGCCUCAGCACUCCACCCCUGAGCAAACCUUUCACUCUUAGCGUCACAGGGAUUAUGCAAUGGAUAGCACACGGCUAUGACCAUGGGAAUAUUAUUCUCAGUGAGGUCUAAUCUGCCAUAAAAGCAUUGCCAGCGCGCCUUUAAUCUGCCAAGGGUACAUUCAACUGUCAUCCGGCACUUACUGAGCCUGUUGUUGAACCACUCCUUACUGCUGUCCAGGUCUCCCAUGUAAGGUUUCAUGAGACACGGAUGUAAGGGGUAUACAGGGUCCCCUAGUAUCACUAUGGGCAUUUCAACACCCCCCACUAUAAUCUUCUGGUUAGGAAAGAAAGUCCCCACUAGCAACUUUUUAUACAGGCUUGUGUUCCUGAAGACCACCUUCCCAGAGCACCCUGCAUUGCUGUCAGUGAAACGCCCACGGUGAUCCACAAGUGCCUGCAACAUCAUGGAGAAGUACCCCUUCCUAUUGAUGUACUCUGUCGCAAGGGAAAUCGCUCUGGUCCUAAGAGUGGCAGAAUCUCUUGCUUCAGUCUUAUGAAUAAGCAGAGAGAAACUUCCGAGAAGCACAGAUACAGAUGUCCAGCCAUCAAUAUAUAAAACUGUAGCACAACAAGAUGGAUGAAGGCAAGCAGAAGAACUUUCGUUGACUGGGAGUGGAGGGAGAGAAGCAUCCUUCAUGAAGGUGUGACAAAGCAGCUGUGAAAAGCAGUCAAGCUGUGUGAUUCUUCUGUAUCUAACUGUGAUACGAUGGAAAUUAUUCUUAAAACUGCAGCUGAAUGAAGACUGGACAUAUCAAAGAGGACAGAUUCUGCUUCCAUUCGGGGAAGAUGACCUCCCUGACAGCACUCCACAUUACAGUGUAUGAGAGUGGUUGCAGCGGACAACAAUGACACAUGUACCAGUUAAAUGUGAAAGUCUAAGGGUAUGUCUACACUAUGAAAUUAGGUCGAUUUUAUAGAAGUCGAUUUUUAGAAAUCGAUUUUAUACAGUCGAUUGCGUAUGUCCACACUAAGCGCAUUAAAUCGGCGGAAUGCGUCCUCACUAUCGUGGCUAGCAUCGAUUUACAGAGCGGUGCACUGUGGGUAGCUAUCCCACAGUUCCCGCAGUCUCUGCUGCCCAUUGGAAUUCUGGGUUAAGCUCCCAAUGCCUGAUGGGGCAAAAACAUUGUCGCGGGUGGUUUUGGGUACAUGUCAUCAGUUGCCCCUCCCUCCAUGAAAGCAAUGGCAGACAAUCGUUUCACGCCAGAUACCAAGGCGAUUAGAAGAGCACAGCAAGCCGCACGGCGCAUCAGAGAGGCGUUGAAAACGAGUUUCAUGACUGGCCAGGCUUCAGGUGACAGUUGUGUGUGUUUCUCCUUGAUGCAAACCCGCCCCCUUUGUGGAU